GGUGCCAUGGCCUAGUUGGUUAAAGCUCCUGCCUAAUAAACAGGAAAUCCUGGGUUCAAAUCCUAGUGGUACCU
rfam:Alligator sinensis unplaced genomic scaffold scaffold280_1, whole genome shotgun sequence